ACUUUAAAGGGGAGGUUUUUCUUUCUUUUUUUUAAGCAGUAUUUUAUUUCCUUGCAGAUUUUUUUCUCUAGAAUUUGAGGAGAAAUGUCAGAAAUCACAUUGGUAGAAGGACAGGGGAGAAUUUAGCCAUAGUAGAUAAUUUGUUUUUGUAAUGAACUAAGUAUGUGCAUUGCUGUGUUGUCUUUUAUUUUCUUUCUUUUUCCUCCCCCUUUUGGUCUGUGCUUUCCAUGAGAUGUCUUGAUGAAAUCCAAGGUACAAUAUCUUGCAGAGAUUUCUCCGUCUGAGAAUUUCUGUUUAGCGUGGAAGGUUCCGAUUUUGGUAUUUUUAAGAACUGCUCAGCUGUCAAAAGCAAACAAAACGGGAAUAAUGUUUUGACAGCGGUAUAGUGUUAAAGAAAAUACUCGAGUCUGAAUAAAAAUUGCUUAUGCUGUGGGAAACGAAGGGUAACAGAAGAAACACCUUUUGUUUACAUACACACAUGUUUAUAAUCCCAAAUUUCCAUUUCGCCGAGCGGGUCUGCGUUGGGAGUUGUAGUCACCAUAAAUGAGGGAUUUUUCUUCCAGAUUUUGCUGCCUUUAAGGCGAAGAGAGGAGGGGAGCGCACCUCCGGCAGCGCUGCCGCCCGAGCCCUGCCCGUCGCGGCGAGCGGGCACCGCAGGGCCCCCCCCCCCCCCCCCCCCCCCCCCCCCCCCCCCCCCCCCCCCCCCCCCCCCCCCCCCCCCCCCCCCCCCCCCCCCCCCCCCCCCCCCCCCCCCCCCCCCCCCCCCCCCCCCCCCCCCCCCCCCCCCCCCCCGCAGGGCCGAAGAGGAGAUGCCGGGGGGAGCCGGGCGCUCCCCACCUUUCACUCAUAGCCGCAGACAGAGCGAGGGAGAGACAAUUGCCCCAGACCAGGUUUUGCUCAUCGCUCCAGCGGCUCUCCAGGCUUCCCGAAGGGACUGAGAGUCUGCCGGCGGCGCCUUUGCGGGGGUCGAUGCGGAGCCACUAGCCCCACUAUACUCCUGAUGCG
rnacentral:lncRNA from 1 species